AACGCACCUUGCGCUCCUUGGUAUUCCGAGGAGCAUGCCUGUUUGAGUGUCAUUAAUAUAUCAACCUCUUCAGAUUUUUUUUGUCGAGUGUUGGAUGUGGGGGGUAUUUUUUUGCUGGUCUCUCUUUGAGGUCAGCUCCCCUAAAAUAUAUUAGCGGGACAAUUUGUUGACCGUUCAUUGGUGUGAUAACUAUCUACGCUAUUGACGUGAGGCAGGUUCAGCUUCUAACAGUCCAUUGACUUGGACAAAUCUUUUAUUAAUGUGACCUCAAAUCAGGUAGGACUACCCGCUGAACUUAA
rnacentral:misc_RNA from 1 species